GACGAACGCUGGCGGCGUGCUUAACACAUGCAAGUCGAACGGUGAAGGGACCGGUUUUUGCUGGUUCUGGAUGAGUGGCGAACGGGUGAGUAACACGUGAGUAACCUGCCCCCUUCUUCUGGAUAACCGCAUGAAAGUGUGGCUAAUACGGGAUAUUCUGCGCCUGCUGCAUGGUGGGUGUGGGAAAGAUAUUGUUUCGGUGGGGGAUGGGCUCGCGGCCUAUCAGCUUGUUGGUGGGGUGAUGGCCUACCAAGGCGGUGACGGGUAGCCGGCCUGAGAGGGUGGACGGUCACACUGGGACUGAGCCACGGCCCAGACUCCUACGGGAGGCAGCAGUGGGGAAUAUUGCACAAUGGGCGCAAGCCUGAUGCAGCGACGCCGCGUGGGGGAUGGAGGCCUUCGGGUUGUAAACCUCUUUCGCCAGUGAAGCAGGCCUGUCCCUUUUGUGGGUGGGUUGACGGUAGCUGGAUAAGAAGCGCCGGCUAACUACGUG
rnacentral:rRNA from 1 species